GUGCCAGCCGCCGCGGUAAUACCGGCAGCCCGAGUGAUGACCGAUCUUAUUGGGCCUAAAGCGUCCGUAGCUGGCUACGCAAGUCCGUCGGGAAAUCCACUCGCCCAACGAGUGGGCGUCCGACGGAAACUGCAUAGCUUGGGACCGGAAGGCUCGAAGGGUACGUGCGGGGUAGGAGUGAAAUCCCAUAAUCCCGCACGGACCACCGAUGGCGAAAGCACUUCGAGAAGACGGCUUCGACAGUGAGGGACGAAAGCUCGGGUCUCAAACCGGAUUAGAAACCCGAGUAGUCC
rnacentral:rRNA from 1 species